UACGUAUGGUGCAAGCGUUAUCCGGAUUUACUGGGUGUAAAGGGUGCGUAGGUGGCGCAGCAAGUCAGAAGUGAAAACUAUGGGCUCAACCCAUAGACUGCUUUUGAAACUGCCGUGCUAGAGUGCAGGAGAGGAAAGUGGAAUUCCUAGUGUAGCGGUGGAAUGCGUAGAUAUUAGGAGGAACACCAGUGGCGAAGGCGACUUUCUGGACUGUUACUGACACUGAGGCACGAAAGCGUGGGGAGCAAAC
rnacentral:rRNA from 1 species